rnacentral:misc_RNA from 1 species
AUGGAAAAAAAAAGAAAAAGAAAACAAGCAAGCAAGGCAGUAAUGGUAUUGCUGCAGACAAUCAAAAGGAAAGAUCCAUCCGUAAAAUUGUUCAUUUGUAUGGGAAGCUUAACUAUCAAUGGAUGAACGUACAGAUCUAUUCAAAUUGACGACAAUUACGCUGAUGUUAUCCCUACUACCCCGAGCAAUUGCUAACUCUGCAAGGAAGGAAGCUGCCCGUGCUGCGAGACUUUCUUUGACGCCUUCAUCUCUCUUAUAGGAUUUGGUUUGUUGAUCGCACCUUCUGAACGUUUGACCAUUCAAGCAUCUUCUUGUAACGUCACACGCAACAUCAUUUGGAAUGACAUCCCAUAGACCAUCACUUGCAAGUAUUAAGAACUCAUCUUCAUCGCUUCUUUUGCUAACUAUCACUUCAGGAUCUGGUAUCACGUACGGUUUGAGGUACAUAUCACCUAUGGAUCUUGAAGUAGCAAGAACUCCUAAGACUCUUUGUCCAUUCCAAUUUAUGACUUUCCCACCUGAAUUUUCAAUUCUAUCCAGCUCAUCAGGUCUGUCAGGCUUAUGAUCAAUAGACAAAGGUACGGCAACUCCAGCACGUGAAAGCACAGCUCUUGAAUCUCCACAAUUCGCAACAACAAAUUCCUCCACUCCCACCACCGCUACCACCGCCGUUGAUCCUAUCGUCGCCAUCUCCGCCCCUUCCUUGUUCACCUUUUCGUUAUCUUACUCGUUCUCUACUCACUACUCUCUCUCGCUCAUACACUACUCUUUCUCUCUCUACACCUCUUCCAUCUUCUUUCUCUCUCCUCCGUUUUCGUCCUCUCAUCGCCGUCGCAGCGAAUCUUCGAACAUUUACUCCGGCGACGUUAACGGCGGCGACGUCGUUUAGAGGUUUCGCGACUCGUCAAACGUCGUCGUCGUUGAAUGACCCGAACCCGAACUGGUCUAAUCGUCCACCGAAGGAGACGAUUUUGCUUGAUGGAUGUGAUUUUGAGCACUGGCUUGUUGUGAUGGAGAAGCCUGAAGGUGAUCCUACAAGAGAUGAGAUUAUUGAUAGUUACAUCAAAACUCUUGCUACGAUUGUCGGAAGUGAGGAGGAAGCAAGAAUGAAGAUCUACUCUGUCUCGACAAGACAUUACUUUGCAUUUGGAGCUCUUGUAUCCGAAGAACUUUCUUACAAGCUCAAAGAAUUGCCGAAGGUUAGAUGGGUGCUUCCUGAUUCCUACCUGGAUGUUAAAAAUAAAGAUUAUGGAGGAGAACCUUUUAUUAAUGGGCAGGCUGUACCCUAUGACCCGAAAUACCACGAGGAGUGGGUGAGGAACAAUGCCCGAGCUAAUGAGAGAAACAGACGUAAUGACCGACCUCGUAACUUUGAUAGAUCCAGAAAUUUUGAGAGAAGAAGAGAGAUGCAGAACCCUGGAUCCAGUAUGGGUGGUGGACCUCCCAAUAUGAGAAAUGCUCCACCCCCUAACAUGGGUGGAAUGCAGCAGCAGCAGCAACCUAACAUGGGCGGAAUGCAGCAGCAGCAACCUAACAUGGGCGGAAU